rnacentral:lncRNA from 1 species
UAAUAUUAAUGGUAUGGUAAAUAGUUGUGACAUAAAUAAAUGGAAGAACUAAUAUUAUUUAAAUUAGUUACAACACAUUAGAUUAUGCAUUUUAGGUAAAAAUGCAUUGCCUAAAUAAAAGCAGUGGAAUUUCUUCCAACAGAAUUUUAGAUUGGGGUAGAAUGAAAACACUAAGUAGAUUUGUGUACUAAUAACU